rnacentral:rRNA from 1 species
UACGUAUGGAGCAAGCGUUAUCCGGAUUUACUGGGUGUAAAGGGAGCGUAGACGGUGUGGCAAGUCUGAUGUGAAGGGUGUGGGCUCAACCCGCAAACUGCAUUGGAAACUGUCCCACUAGAGUGUCGGAGAGGUAAGUGGAAUUCCUAGUGUAGCGGUGAAAUGAGUAGAUAUUAGGAGGAACACCAGCGGCGAAGGCGGCUUACUGGAAGAUAACUGACGUUGAGGCUCGAAAGCGUGGGGAGCAAAC